rnacentral:rRNA from 1 species
GACGAACGCUGGCGGUGUGCUUAACACAUGCAAGUCGAACGGAAAGGCCCUGCUUUUGUGGGGUGCUCGAGUGGCGAACGGGUGAGUAACACGUGAGUAACCUGCCCUUGACUUUGGGAUAACUUCAGGAAACUGGGGCCAAUACCGGAUAGGAGCACCUGCUGCAUGUUGGGGGUUGGAUAGUUUCGGCGGUUGGGGAUGGACUCGCGGCUUAUCCGCUUGUUAGUGGGUUAGUGGCUUACCAAGGCUUUGACGGGUAGCCGGCGUGAGAGGGUGACCGGACACAUUGGGACUGAGAUACGGCCCCGAGUCCUACGGGAGGCAGAAGUGGGGAAUAUUGCACAAUGGGCGGAAGCCUGAUGCAGCAACGCCGCGUGCGGGAUAACGGCCUUCGGGUUGUAAACCGCUUUCGCCUGUGACGAAGAGUGAGUGACGGUAAUGGGUAAAGAAGCACCGGCUAACUACGUG